GUGAGGAAUUUUCCGCAAUGGGCGAAAGCCUGACGGAGCAAUGCCGCGUGAAGGAUGAAGGCCUAUGGGUUGUAAACUUCUUUUCUCAGAAAAGAAUUAUGACGGUAUCUGAGGAAUAAGCAUCGGCUAACUCUGUGCCAGCAGCCGCGGUAAGACAGAGGAUGCAAGCGUUAUCCGGAAUGAUUGGGCGUAAAGCGUCUGUAGGUUGUUUAAAAAGUAUUCUGUCAAAGAUUAGGGCUUAACCCUAGAUAGGCAGAAUAAACUUUUAAGCUAGAGUUUGGUAGAGGCAGAGGGAAUUCCCGGUGGAGCGGUGAAAGGCGUAGAUAUCGGGAGGAACACCAAAGGCGAAGGCACUCUGCUGGGCCAAUACUAACACUGAGAGACGAAAGCGAGGGGAGCAAAUGGGAUUAGAAACCCUGGUAGUCC
rnacentral:rRNA from 1 species